GAAAGGCGUAGUCGAUGGGAAACAGGUCAAUAUUCCUGUACCAGUCCAUGGAUGCGAUGGGGGGACGGAGAAGGUUAUAGCAGCCGGGUAUUGGAAGUCCCGGUUUAAGCAGGUAGGCGUGCUGCGUAGGCAAAUCCGCGCGGCUUAGCCGAGAUGUGAUGACGAGGAGCCACGUGCUCUGAAGUGCUAGAUACCACGCUUCCAGGAAAAGCCUCUAAGCUUCAGUCAUGGAUUGACCGUACCGCAAACCGACACAGGUGGGCAGGAUGAAAAUUCUCAGGCGCUUGAGAGAACCCAGGAGAAGGAACUCGGCAAAUUGAUACCGUAACUUCGGGAGAAGGUAUGCCCCUAGUAGGUAAAGUCCCUCGCGGAUGGAGCCAAACGGGGUCGCAGAGAAUCGGUGGCUGCGACUGUUUAAUAAAAACACAGCACUCUGCAAACACGAAAGUGGACGUAUAGGGUGUGACGCCUGCCCGGUGCCGGAAGGUUAAGUGAUGGGGUGCAAGCUCUUGAUCGAAGCCCCGGUAAACGGCGGCCGUAACUAUAACGGUCCUAAGGUAGCGAAAUUCCUUGUCGGGUAAGUUCCGACCUGCACGAAUGGCGUAACGAUGGCCACACUGUCUCCUCCUGGGACUCAGCGAAGUUGAAAUGUUUGUGAAGAUGCAAUCUCCCCGCGGCUAGACGGAAAGACCCCAUGAACCUUUACUGUAGCUUUGCAUUGGACUUUGACGGGACUUGUGUAGGAUAGGUGGGAGGCUUUGAAGCGGGGACGCCAGUUCACGUGGAGCCAACCUUGAAAUACCACCCUGAUGUUGUUGAGGUUCUAACCUUGACCCCUGAAUCGGGGCCGGGGACCGUGCAUGGUAGGCAGUUUGACUGGGGCGGUCUCCUCCCAAAGAGUAACGGAGGAGUGCGAAGGUUCGCUAGGUACGGUCGGAAAUCGUACUGAUAGUGCAAUGGCAUAAGCGAGCUUAACUGCGAGUCCGACAAGACGAGCAGGUGCGAAAGCAGGUCAUAGUGAUCCGGUGGUUCUGUAUGGAAGGGCCAUCGCUCAACGGAUAAAAGGUACUCUGGGGAUAACAGGCUGAUUCCUCCCAAGAGUUCAUAUCGACGGGGGAGUUUGGCACCUCGAUGUCGGCUCAUCACAUCCUGGGGCUGUAGCCGGUCCCAAGGGUAUGGCUGUUCGCCAUUUAAAGUGGUACGUGAGCUGGGUUUAAAACGUCGUGAGACAGUUUGGUCCCUAUCUGCCGUGGGCGUUGGAAGUUUGAGGGGGGCUGCUCCUAGUACGAGAGGACCGGAGUGGACAGAUCUCUGGUGGACCGGUUGUCACGCCAGUGGCAUAGCCGGGUAGCUAUAUCUGGAAGAGAUAAGCGCUGAAAGCAUCUAAGCGCGAAACUCGCCUCAAGAUGAGACUUCCCGGGGACUCGAUCCCCCUGAAGGGUCGUGGAAGACCACCACGUUGAUAGGCUGGGUGUGGAAGUGCAGUAAUGCAUUAAGCUAACCAGUACUAAUUGCCCGUGCGGCUUGACC
rnacentral:rRNA from 1 species